UUACUAAUAGGUUAUAUAAACUGGUAGAUUGUGGUUCUAUUGAAUACUUGUUGAUUUGGUGGUAUUAGUAAA
rnacentral:tRNA from 1 species